UGUUGUAAUUGUUUAAUCUUAGCAAUGUUCGAACGUUAUCUGGUAGUUUUACUCAUGCGAGUUGUAAAUUUUAUGAAUUUAUAGCGUGCAGGCGAGGAUUGCAAAGAAUAGAUACCUAGUUUAGAUUCAUUCUUUGUUUUGUAGGUAGUUGGUGUGGUAAUGGCACACCAAGCCAAUGACAAAUAGAAAUGAGCGAAAGCUUCAAUUUCCGCAAUUGGUUUUAAUAGACCGAUCGAUCAGUUGUCUGAUUGCUGCAGAGGAGAAUCUUGGGCAAUGCUCGAAAGAGUGACCCAGCUAACCAGAACUCGAAGUAAAAGUAGAGUGUUGUAAGGGAGGAUAAUGACGUUACCUUACUAUAAGUCCAAUCUAAGUCUCGUGCCAGCAGACGCGGUUAUACGAACUGGGCGAACGUUGAAUAAAUGAAUAGGUUUUAAGUAUCUGUAGGCGGUGAAGAAAUAUUCUUCACUAGAAUUCAAUAGAGGAAAAUAGAACGUUAGAAGUAGAGAUGAAAUUUGUUGAUAUCUAACGGAAUACUAAUGGCGAAGGCAAUUUUCCAGGUAAGAAUUGACGCUGAGAGAUGAAAGUUUGGGGAGCGAAACAGAUUAGCUACCUGAGUAGUCCAAACCGUAAACUAUUUACACUACUCCUUUGGUUAAGUAUAAUAUACUGAAAAUAAAAUCAGAGGGAAAGCGAAAGGCUGUAUGUGUAACACCUUGUUAGUAAUGCCGCAAGGUUGAAAGCAAAAAGAUUAGACCAUCCCUAAGAACCGGUGUGGAGCAUGUUGUUUAAUACGAAACCACGCGUAGAACCUUACCUCUCCUCGUAUGUCCAUGUAGUUUUAAACAAAGUGGAUACAGGCGUUGCAUGGCUGUCGUCAGUUCGUGUCGUAAGAUGUUAGGUUCAGUCCGCUAACGAACGCAAUCCAUGGUAGAAAUCAAUUCUUUCUACCGUCAAUUUGAUAAAAAUGACAAAAUGGAUUACGAUAAGUCGUCAUGACCCUUAUGGAGUAUGGGCUACAGACGUGCUACUAAAAUCUAACAAUAAGAGGCAAAGUCGAAAGACUGAGCAAAUCUAUAAAACAAGAUUUGAUAAGGAUUGUGGACUGAAAUUCGUCCAUAUGAAUCAGGAAUACCGAGUAAUCGUUUAUUAGUACGAAACGGUGAACAACACAUUAGGGAGAUACUAACUGUCUAUCACAUCUUGGUUUUAUCCGAGUACGGAACUUGGAAAGGAUUCUCCUGGAAAAGGACGUUUAGGGUAGAACUGAGGUGAAGUUAUAGCAAGGUAGCCGUAAGGGAACUUGCGGCUGAUUGAUAAAUAUC
rnacentral:rRNA from 1 species